CGAGGUGUUCCUUUGGAACUGAAUUUGGGAUAUUCCAAGACAAACUAUUAUGAAGAUUGCUCACCAAUAUUUUUCUUACUAAUUCUCAAAAAAAUAUUUGUAAAUCCACAAUCAUAAUUUGGAAGUGCAGCCUUUUGUGUUUGAUCACACCGGUAGUUCAGGUGUGCUCCCUAGUACAACUCUAGUGAUUGUAGAUACAUCAUUACCCUGAUUACGAAGUAAAAAUUCCGUGCCUUAUUGAUCCCUGCUGCUCCGCUCUCCUUUGUUUAUGCGUGGUUAUGUUGGUCUUUUUUUUUUUGAUAUAGCAGCUCAUUUUCCCUAACCAUUUUCCCAAGGAAUACUAUUUUCUGGAGUUCCAAACUCAUUCAGAAUUAGUGAUAUGUAAGUAUGUAACUACAGUGUAGGUCAACUGAAUUUGGGAUCUUCCAAGAAAAACUAUUAUGAAGAUACAAGCAUCAAGAUAUUUUAGUAAUUAUCAAAGAAAUAUUUGUAAAUCCACAAUCAUAAUUGGAAAGUGCAUCCUCUCGUGUU
rnacentral:lncRNA from 1 species